rnacentral:rRNA from 1 species
GCGAACUAGAGUGUGGUAGGGGAGACUGGAAUUCCUGGUGUAGCGGUGGAAUGCGCAGAUAUCAGGAGGAACACCAAUGGCGAAGGCAGGUCUCUGGGCCAUUACUGACACUGAGGAGCGAAAGUCUGGGGAGCGAACAGGAUUAGAUACCCUGGUAGUCCAGACCGUAAACGGUGGGCGCUAGUUGUGGGAACCUUCCACGGUUUCUGCGACGCAGCUAACGCAUUAAGCGCCCCGCCUGGGGAGUACGAUCGCAAGAUUAAAACUCAAAGGAAUUGACGGGGCCCCGCACAAGCAGCGGAGCAUGCGGCUUAAUUCGACGCAACGCGAAGAACCUUACCAAGGCUUGACAUAUAGGGAAAAGCAAUAGAGAUAUUGUGUCCGCAAGGGCUCUAUACAGGUGGUGCAUGGUUGUCGUCAGCUCGUGUCGUGAGAUGUUGGGUUAAGUCCCGCAACGAGCGCAACCCUCGUCCUGUGUUACCAGCAUUUAGUUGGGGACUCACGGGAGACUGCCGGGGUUAACUCGGAGGAAGGUGGGGAUGACGUCAAAUCAUCAUGCCCCUUAUGUCUUGGGCUGCACGCAUGCUACAAUGGCCGGUACAAAGGGCUGCGAAACCGUAAGGUCUAGCGAAUCCCAAAAAGCCGGUCUCAGUUCGGAUUGAGGUCUGCAACUCGACCUCAUGAAGUUGGAGUUGCUAGUAAUCGUAGAUCAGCAACGCUACGGUGAAUACGUUCCCGGGGCUUGUACACACCGCCCGUCACGUCACGAAAGUCGGUAACACCCAAAGUCAGUGGCCCAACCGCAAGGA